rnacentral:rRNA from 1 species
CCUACGGGCGGCAGCAGUGAGGAAUAUUGGUCAAUGGGCGUAAGCCUGAACCAGCCAAGUCGCGUGAAGGAUGAAGGUUCUAUGGAUCGUAAACCUCUUUUAUAAGGGAAUAAAGUGUGGGACGUGUCCUAUUUUGUAUGUACCUUAUGAAUAAGGAUCGGCUAACUCCGUGCCAGCAGCCGCGGUAAUACGGAGGAUGCGAGCGUUAUCCGGAUUUAUUGGGUUUAAAGGGUGCGUAGGCGGAAUGCCAAGUCAGCGGUAAAAUCGCGUGGCUCAACCUCGCUCCGCUGUUGAUACGGGCGUUCGUGAGUGGGUGAGAAGUAUGCGGAAUGCGGUGUGUAGCGGUGAAAUGCAUAGAGAUCACGCAGAACACCGAUUGCGAAGGCAGCAUACCGGAGCUCAACUGACGCUGAAGCACGAAAGCGUGGGUAUCGAACAGGAGUAGAUACCCGGGUAGUC